GACGAACGCUGGCGGCGUGCUUAACACAUGCAAGUCGAGCGAGUGGAUUCCCUUCGGGGAUGAAGCUAGCGGCGGACGGGUGAGUAACACGUGGGCAACCUGCCUUAUAGAGGGGGAUAGCCUUCCGAAAGGAAGAUUAAUACCGCAUAACAUCAGAUUAUCGCAUGGUAGACUGAUCAAAGGAGCAAUCACGCUAUAAGGUGGGCCCGCGUCGCAGUAGCUAGUUGGUGAGGUAACGGCUCACCAAGGCGACGAUGCGUAGCCGACCUGAGAGUGUGAUCGGCCACAUGAGGACUGAGACCAGGCCGAGACUCCGACGGAAGGACGCAGUGUGGAAUAUUGCACAAUGGGGGAAACCCUGAUGCAGCAACGCCGCGUGAGUGAUGAAGGCCUUCGGGUUGUAAAGCUCUUUGAUCCGGGACGAUAAUGACGGUACCUGAAGAACAAGCCACGGCUAACUACGUGCCAGCAGCCGCCGUAACAC
rnacentral:rRNA from 1 species